rfam:Poecilia formosa, whole genome shotgun sequence.
CCAAAGGCUCUUUUAAGAGCCACCAACUGUGUCUGAAGAACGCUG